rfam:Danio rerio chromosome 3, GRCz11 reference primary assembly.
AGCAGAGUGGUGCAGUGGAUGAGUGCUGGGCCCAUAACCCAGAGGUCAGUGGCUUGAAACCAUCCUCUGCUA